CAUGCAAGUCGAACGAGAAUCUGCUGAAGGAGGAUUCGUCCAACGGAAGUAGAGGAAAGUGGCGGACGGGUGAGUAACGCGUGAGGAACCUGCCUUGAAGAGGGGGACAACAGUUGGAAACGACUGCUAAUACCGCAUGACGCAUAGAGGUCGCAUGAUCUUUAUGCCAAAGAUUUAUCGCUUCAAGAUGGCCUCGCGUCUGAUUAGCUAGUUGGCGGGGUAACGGCCCACCAAGGCGACGAUCAGUAGCCGGACUGAGAGGUGGAACGGCCACAUUGGGACUGAGAUACGGCCCAGACUCCUACGGGAGGCAGCAGUGGGGAAUAUUGGGCAAUGGGCGCAAGCCUGACCCAGCAACGCCGCGUGAAGGAAGAAGGCUUUCGGGUUGUAAACUUCUUUUAAGAGGGAAGAGCAGAAGACGGUACCUCUAGAAUAAGCCACGGCUAACUACGUGCCAGCAGCCGCGGUAAUACGUAGGUGGCAAGCGUUGUCCGGAUUUACUGGGUGUAAAGGGCGUGCAGCCGGGUCUGCAAGUCAGAUGUGAAAUCCAUGGGCUCAACCCAUGAACUGCAUUUGAAACUGUAGAUCUUGAGUGUCGGAGGGGCAAUCGGAAUUCCUAGUGUAGCGGUGAAAUGCGUAGAUAUUAGGAGGAACACCAGUGGCGAAGGCGGAUUGCUGGACGAUAACUGACGGUGAGGCGCGAAAGUGUGGGGAGCAAACAGGAUUAGAUACCCUGGUAGUCCACACUGUAAACGAUGAAUACUAGGUGUGCGGGGACUGACCCCCUGCGUGCCGCAGUAAACACAAUAAGUAUUCCACCUGGGGAGUACGAUCGCAAGGUUGAAACUCAAAGGAAUUGACGGG
rnacentral:rRNA from 1 species